rnacentral:rRNA from 1 species
UACGUAGGGUGCAAGCGUUGUCCGGAAUUAUUGGGCGUAAAGGGCUCGUAGGCGGUCCAUCGCGUCGGGAGUGAAAAGCUGGGGCUUAACCCCAGUCCUGCUUCCGAUACGGGUGGACUAGAGGUAGGUAGGGGAGAACGGAAUUCCUGGUGUAGCGGUGGAAUGCGCAGAUAUCAGGAGGAACACCGGUGGCGAAGGCGGGUCUCUGGGCAGUAACUGACGCUGAGGAGCGAAAGCGUGGGGAGCGAACAGG